rnacentral:sRNA from 1 species
GCUGGGUAUGGUGGUGCACACCUAUAAUCCCAGCAACUCAGGAGGCUGAGGCAGGAGGAUUGCAAGUUCAAGACCAGCCUCAG